ensembl:lncRNA
AUGAGCCCUGCGCUGAGCCUGCUGCUGUCCCUGGCUGGCUGCACCCUGCUUCAGGGUGAGUCCUGCACUGGGCAGUGGCACCACAAAGUGGCCCCACGGGUGGGAAAAACCACGGGGACAGCUCUUAGACAAAAAAAAUACACCUGCGGGGAGGUUGGGUGCAGAGGGUGCUUGGUCAAAGCGGGGGGACCCACGCAAUGUGGCCAAGGAGGACGGGGCACGCACAUGCUGGGAUAUGCAAAGCAGGGUGACAGAGCCUCACGCCCCCCGCUCCCCCCAGGCGUGCCGUUCCCACCCCAGGACGUGAGGCUGGAGGCCCAAAACUUCCACGUGCAGCUGCGGUGGGAGCCGGACCCGCGCACCCCUGGCGAGGCCACGUACCAGGUGGAGUGGAAGAGGCGAACCUCCAACUGGACCAGGGCAGACGCCUCCUGGGGGAACCACACCAGCUCACCCUGGGUGUGCCAGCUGUAUUUCGACGAGAUCUACGAUAUCUACUGGGCGAGAGUGAGAGCCGCGGAGGACGGCGAGCUGUCCCCGUGGGUCUAUUCCAGCGAGCUGCAGCCAUACAGAGACACAAUUGUGGGCCCCCCCAGGCUGUCCUGGCUGUUCCAGGGCCACAUCCUCAGCAUCAAUGUCACCGUGCCGCUCACGCCGUUCAGGGGCAAGAAGGGCUCCUACAAGCCAGUCAACAAAGUGCUGCUGAAGCUGUGGUACUGGCUGCACCUCUACGACGGGGACGUGCUCACCCAGCAAGUGCCCUGCAGGCGGAGCAUGAGAGGAGCACCGUGCACCUUGAGGCACCUGAAGCCGAGCACUCGGUACUGCGUCCGCACGGUGGCAGUGGGCAUGGCCCCCGAGCGGAGCCGGGAGGCUGAGCAGUGCCUGGUGACCCCGGCAGCUCCUGCAGGUGAGAGCUCGCUGCGUCCUCAUCACAACCCACCUGCAUCGCGGGCACGCGGCAGGGUGCAGGUCANNNNNNNNNNNNNNNNNNNNCGGGCACGCGGCAGGGUGCGGGUCGCACACCCUGGGCUGAUCUGCUCAGGGCUGGACCCAUCUCGGGGGGAUGCUACCUGUCGUGGGAGCUGCUGGGGGUGCCAACCGGUGUCCCUCCACCCCACAACCCAUGGGGACUGUCCCAGCAGGCUUCCCCUGGGUCCUCCUCGCCGCGCUGAAUGCCACCUUCCUGCUGCUGAGCGUGGCCGGACUCUGCCUGGUCCAUCUGUACAUCUUCCCAAAACCCUCGGAGAUGCGCCUCCCGAAAACACUCGCCCCUCUGGACGGGAGCAGCGGGGUGCCCACCCUCGCGCUGCGGGAGGACGCGCUCGCCCUGCUGCUGCCAGCUGGCAAGGAGCCGGCAGCGCCUGGAGCCCCGCUGCAGCCCAGGGCAAGGCGUCCCCAGGAGACGAGUGGUUACUGCCCCAACGGGUUUGGGACGGACCGCCCCGAGGGAUGGGACACAUCCUGCACCCACAGCCAGCCCGGGCAGGCACUUGGCACCUGGGCAUCGUUGCGGCUGGAGGAGGAGGAGGAGGAACACGACGGGGAUGCUGCGACAGCUUCCACUGACAGCAGCACAGGAGAUGGGGACUGUGGGACAUCCGAGACGUGGCUCCCCCUGCACCUCCAGCUUUAUUCCAAGUGCCCGUGGCCAUCUCCAGGAGCGGGUGUCAGCCUUCCUCCCUCCCUGCAAACCAUCAGCUUCAGCCCCAGGGAGCUGCGGGAGAGCGAGGCAGGGUGCUGGGUACCGCUCAGCUCCGUGAAGCUGCUGGCCAGCAAGGAGGAGGACGAGGGGCAGCUCCACCAUGCUGUCCACCCCCCGAGGACCGAGCUUCAGCCGGGUGACAGUGCCAUGCAGCAGGGUGACACGGGGCGGGCAGCACCAGGCUGCCCCUGCCCAGUGCCCCCAGUGCCCCCCGGCACGUCCCACAUGGGCACGCUCCAUGGACAGGUGGCAGCAACAUCUUCAGAGCACCCCUCUGUGGUUUUGGGUGCUUCUGAGGCAAAAUGUGAGGAAUAG